CAUACCCUAUUCAAGGGAUAGGGUCGGUUCGGCCGGAUUUUACACAAGUGUUGCAUGGCUGUCGUCAGCUCGUGUCGUGAGAUGUUGGGUUAAGUCCCGCAACGAGCGCAACCCUCAUCCUUAGUUGCUAUCAGGUAAUGCUGAGUACUUUAAGGAAACUGCCAGUGAUAAGCUGGAGGAAGGUGGGGAUGAUGUCAAGUCAUCAUGGCCUUUAUGGAGUGGGCUACACACGUGCUACAAUGGUGUCUACAAUGGGCUGCAAGGUGCGCAAGCCUAAGCUAAUCCCUAAAAGACAUCUCAGUUCGGAUUGUACUCUGCAACUCGAGUACAUGAAGUUGGAAUCGCUAGUAAUCGUGGAUCAGCAUGCCACGGUGAAUACGUUCUCGGGUCUUGUACACACGUGCCCGUCACGCCAUGGGAAUUGGUUCCGUCGCGAGGCU
rnacentral:rRNA from 1 species